rnacentral:rRNA from 1 species
AUAGGUUAAUGAGGCGAACCGGGGGAACUGAAACAUCUAAGUACCCCGAGGAAAAGAAAUCAACCGAGAUUCCCCCAGUAGCGGCGAGCGAACGGGGAGCAGCCCAGAGCCUGAAUCAGUAUGUGUGUUAGUGGAAGCGUCUGGAAAGGCGCGCGAUACAGGGUGACAGCCCCGUACACAAAAAUGCACAUGCUGUGAGCUCGAUGAGUAGGGCGGGACACGUGGUAUCCUGUCUGAAUAUGGGGGGACCAUCCUCCAAGGCUAAAUACUCCUGACUGACCGAUAGUGAACCAGUACCGUGAGGGAAAGGCGAAAAGAACCCCGGCGAGGGGAGUGAAAAAGAACCUGAAACCGUGU